UGGUUGGGCACAUGCCCACACAAUUCUAGAAGAAUUUCUCUUAUGAGAACAAGAAACCCUUGGUUGUUUCAUUUGAUUUCUCUUCCUCGUCUUUCAAUUUCAGAUCCAUGUGCUCCUUAUCAGCCCCGCUAAUAGUUGAGAGUGCUUGCUUUUGUACGGAUACUUCAAGGUACAUUUGACGCGUCCGCAGACCUCGAAGUCCCCCUCUAUUCUCUCCUAUGUCAUUUACCUUCCGUACUUCUUUUGUUAGACUUUGGUGUAUAGAGAUACUAGUUUCCUUCUGUAGCUUGUGACUUACGAUGUUCUGGAUUUUGGGAAGACUGUGUAUUAGAUAGUAUUGGUUAUUGCACAUGCCGAGCGGUAUUGUUAUUAGUUAUUUAGUUAUCCACUGUUGUUAGUUGUCAAGUUUUA